GGAUUAGAUACCCUGGUAGUCCACGCAGUAAACGAUGAGUGCUAAGAAUUAGGAGCUUGUCUUUUAGUUCUGAAGCUAACGCGUUAAGCACUCCGCCUGGGGAGUACGAUCGCAAGGUUGAAACUUAAAGGAAUUGACGGGGGCCCGCACAAGCGGUGGAGCAUGCGGUUUAAUUCGAUAAUACGCGAAAAACCUUACCAACAAAAACUAGCCUUGACAUCCCUAUCGCGGAUUAGAGAGAUCUUUUCCUUCAGCUCGGCUGGAUAGGUGACAGGUGCUGCAUGGCUGUCGUCAGCUCGUGCCG
rnacentral:rRNA from 1 species